UGACUUGGUCAAGAUCACGUGCCUUCCUCUCCCUUACUUUAGCCAACCGGAAUAACUUCUUAUCCCCACCUCUCUCCCCUAGUUCCUCAUACAUGUGUCCGAACGCCUCGUUUUUAGCUUCCGUCACAGCCAUCUUAGCUUCUCUUCUCGCCUCCCUGUAUAUCAACCUAUUCGCUCUUCGCUCCUCCUCGCUUGAGCUCCCUGCCAACCUAGCGAACGCCGCCUUCUUCACCUCCACUUUUCCCUUGACUACCUCGUUCCACCACCAAUCACCC
rnacentral:lncRNA from 1 species